rnacentral:tRNA from 1 species
GGAGCCGUGCCUGAAUUAAAGGAUCACUUUGAUAGGGUGAAUUAUAGGGGUUAGAGCCCCCUCGCCUCCU